AAUGGAUAUCCUGUAAAGCAGCUGCUUCAUGAUCCUAAUGAGGGGAGUGUGUGUAUGUAACUUUAUCAUUGUAUUACAUUUAACGAAACAGUUGAAGUUCAGACACGCCCAUUGUUGCAUAUUAGUUACAGCACCCAAUUUUUCUGCGCUUGGGUUGAUAUGAGGUUUUUUUGUUAUUUUACUGAGACACUUUGUGCCGCCGUUCGUAUUAAUUAUUUUAUUUUUUACAAUUAGUAAAAAGAAGUGUCUGUGCGCGAUCCACAGUCGAACCUAUCGUGUGCAGAGUUGGCCAAAAACACGUCGAAAUAAUGAAUAUACAAAAUAAUACCGCGAAUAACUAAUUAUUCUAGUGGACGAAGAAUAAUAUU